GCCAUAUACAACCACCUCCUCUUCUGGGUAGACCUGAACACUUACUGAAGACAUGACACCUUGGAUGAAGAAGGUCCAGUUAAACUCCUAGGCAGAGAAAGAGACAGAUACACAGAUGCCAGGCUAUGAGUUUUGUGCUGUGUUGAAAAGUUCUACACAAAAGAGCAAGAGAGACUCUUUUUCCCCGUGCAUCCUCCCAAGUUCUUGAUUUCUAUACUCACAUUUGCAAUCUCGGUUUCAAGCUGCAUAACUUUUGCCAUUUCAUCUUGGACGAAAGAGUCAUCUUUAGACAUAUUCUUGUCUUCUCGGAUCAUUUUGGCAAUGGUGAUCAUGAACUGCAGGAUGAUCUCCAGCUCAUCUCUCAGGAUGUCAAAAAUGCUGUAUCUGGAGCUAGUUUCUGGGAUAACAUGCCGGUUGAGCCAGCCCCCACAGGCAUACUGGUAGAAAUCCUUGCAAGGUUCAGCUGUUGGGUC